ACCAUGACGCAGAGGUAGGGUGGUUCAAGAGAAACAGCGGCGGUGUGUGGGUCUCGUGCUUUUAUCGUCCUCUUAUUGGCUGUCGGCCAUAUUCAUUGACUUCCUGGCCAGAUGGGAAAAACAAACUGUUCAUUUGUACAGUCAACGAAGAGAAGCCAAGCGAGAAACAAGUUGACUGUGGGGAAUUCGAAGACCAGAAGCUCUCGCCAAGAGUAAUGGUGGAUCUCAGAGAUGUUGGGUGCAGCAAUAGCCCGCCAGGUUGAGACCCUUCGUAUAUCUUGUCGAAAGCACCAACUGUGGAGGGCGCCUGGAGGAAGAAGGCCUUCACCGAGGAGAUCGAUAGGCAGGAGAAAAGCUGCAAAAACAAAAAGAAUGACAGGAGAAAGUGGAACAUUUCUAGUAGUCCUUUUCUUCUAACUCGGUGAACAAGGAUAAUGCAGUGGAUCCCAUCGUCAUGUGUGCAUGUGUGUGCGUGUACACGUUUAUGUGCCUAUGUCUCUGCGCGUGCGCGCAGGCGGUAUCCUGUAACUAAUUCAUAAACUGACCACCUGA
rnacentral:misc_RNA from 1 species